GACGGGGGGGGCAAGCGUUAAUCGGAAUUACUGGGCGUAAAGCGUGCGCAGGCGGUUAUACAAGACAGAUGUGAAAUCCCCGGGCUCAACCUGGGAAUUGCAUUUGUGACUGUAUGGCUAGAGUGUGUCAGAGGGGGGUAGAAUUCCACGUGUAGCAGUGAAAUGCGUAGAUAUGUGGAGGAAUACCGAUGGCGAAGGCAGCCCCCUGGGAUAACACUGACGCUCAUGCACGAAAGCGUGGGGAGCAAACAGG
rnacentral:rRNA from 1 species